GACGAACGCUGGCGGCGUGCCUAAUACAUGCAAGUCGAGCGAAUGGAUGGGAGCUUGCUCCCUGAAGUUAGCGGCGGACGGGUGAGUAACACGUGGGCAACCUGCCUGUAAGACUGGGAUAACUUCGGGAAACCGGAGCUAAUACCGGAUACAUUCUUUCUUCGCCUGAAGAAAGAUGGAAAGAUGGUUUCGGCUAUCACUUACAGCUGGGCCCGCGGCGCAUUAGCUAGUUGGUGAGGUAACGGCUCACCAAGGCAACGAUGCGUAGCCGACCUGAGAGGGUGAUCGGCCACACUGGGACUGAGACACGGCCCAGACUCCUACGGGAGGCAGCAGUAGGGAAUCUUCCGCAAUGGACGAAAGUCUGACGGAGCAACGCCGCGUGAGCGAAGAAGGCCUUCGGGUCGUAAAGCUCUGUUGUUAGGGAAGAACAAGUACCAGAGUAACUGCUGGUACCUUGACGGUACCUAACCAGAAAGCCACGGCUAACUACGUGCCAGCAGCCGCAGUAACAC
rnacentral:rRNA from 1 species